rnacentral:rRNA from 1 species
GAUGAACGCUGGCGGCGUGCCUAAUACAUGCAAGUCGAGCGAACAGACGAGGAGCUUGCUCCUUUGACGUUAGCGGCGGACGGGUGAGUAACACGUGGGUAACCUGCCUAUAAGACUGGGAUAACUUCGGGAAACCGGAGCUAAUACCGGAUAAUAUUUCGAACCGCAUGGUUCGAUAGUGAAAGAUGGCUUUGCUAUCACUUAUAGAUGGACCUGCGCCGUAUUAGCUAGUUGGUAAGGUAACGGCUUACCAAGGCAACGAUACGUAGCCGACCUGAGAGGGUGAUCGGCCACACUGGAACUGAGACACGGUCCAGACUCCUACGGGAGGCAGCAGUAGGGAAUCUUCCGCAAUGGGCGAAAGCCUGACGGAGCAACGCCGCGUGAGUGAUGAAGGUCUUCGGAUCGUAAAACUCUGUUAUUAGGGAAGAAUAAACGUGUAAGUAACUGUGCACGUCUUGACGGUACCUAAUCAGAAAGCCACGGCUAACUACGUG